CCUACGGGAGGCUGCAGUGGGGAAUAUUGGGCAAUGGGCGCAAGCCUGACCCAGCAACGCCGCGUGAAGGACGAAGGCGCUCGGGUUGUAAACUUCUUUUGUCAGAGACGCAGAAAGUGACGGUACCUGCCGAAUAAGCCACGGCUAACUACGUGCCAGCAGCCGCGGUAAUACGGCGGUGGCAAGCGUUAUGCGGAUUUACUGGGUGUCAGGGGCGUGUAGGCGGGGAAGCAAGUCAGAUGUGAAAUUCCAGGGCUCAACCCUGGAACAGCAUUUGAAACUGUUUGUCUUGAGUGAUGGAGAGGUAGGCGGAAUGCCGGGUGUAGCGGUGAAAUGCGUAGAUAUAGGGAGGAACACCGGUGGCGAAGGCGGCCUGCUGGACAUGAACUGACGCUGAGGCGCGAAAGCGUGGGGAGCAAACAGGAUUAGAUACCCUUGUAGUC
rnacentral:rRNA from 1 species